UACGUAGGUGGCAAGCGUUGUCCGGAUUUAUUGGGCGUAAAGAGCGUGUAGGCGGUCCGGUAAGUCAGCUGUGAAAGUCAAGGGCUCAACCCUUGAAUGCCGGUUGAUACUGUCGGGCUAGAGUCCGGAAGAGGCGAGUGGAAUUCCCGGUGUAGCGGUGAAAUGCGCAGAUAUCGGGAGGAACACCAAUGGCGAAGGCAGCUCGCUGGGACGGUACUGACGCUGAGACGCGAAAGCGUGGGGAGCAAACAGG
rnacentral:rRNA from 1 species